GUCGGUUCCGGUAUGCGCAGUCCUUCGGUCAAGGGCCCUGUGGGAAAAAGAAAAGGAAAGGGAAUUCUUUCUUCCAGUGAGUAAGACGGCAGCGCUCCAGCAAUGCCAGCGGGUAUUUCGUCUACCUUGCAGGGUUUGGCCUUAAAAUUCAGACUUCUUUCCCAGGGCCGUCUCGCAUCACCCCUUGUCAGCUAAGAUGUGGAGGGGGUGCAAGCGCGUGACUGGGGGCUUCCCAGCCCAGAGGGGAAGAGAAACUGCCACAGAUCCUGAUGUCAGCAGCAAGGUGUUAGCCUUGGCUGGUGAAUACAGGCAGCCCCUGGCCGCGCCUGAGUGGUAAGAUUACAGGGGACAGGCAGAGAGAUGAAGCUAAGAAGACAUCUUUUCAGAGAUGUGUUAAGCCCAGAACCCCAGGAUGAAGUGACCUCUGUACCCUUUCCAGAACAAACCUGCCCUUCUGUGGGUCCCCAAGAAGUAACUCUUUGGGAAUUUGUGGGUGGGUAUGCAAAAGAGCAAGUAAUGAUAAGCAAUUAACUGUAUCGCCUCAUGCAUAGAUAGUAGUAUUUAUUUGGCUUUGACCAAGGCCUGGUGACAGAUGCUGAAGGACUUGAACCACCAACUCAGCUUAGGAGGAAGCCAAGACUGAAGGUUUCCCAUCUCCCAGUAUGAUUGUAAGCUGCUUGAAGAUAGGACAUAUUUACACAGGACCAGUACAAUACUCUACAAAUAGUAGGCCCUUGCUGAUUUUCCCCCUGAAUGGGAAUUUUAUUUGCCUUGACCCGGCAGCUGGCUUAAUGUCAAACACACAGUGAAAGUUGUUGAAGUGAAAUAGAACCUUGGCCUUGCAGUACGCGGGCCUCUCACUGUUGUGGCCUCUCCUGUUGCGGAGC